rnacentral:rRNA from 1 species
UACGAAGGGUGCAAGCGUUACUCGGAAUUACUGGGCGUAAAGGGUGCGUAGGUGGUUCUUUAAGUCUGCUGUGAAAGCCCCGGGCUCAACCUGGGAAUGGCAGUGGAUACUGGAGAGCUAGAGUGCGGUAGAGGGUGGUGGAAUUCCCGGUGUAGCAGUGAAAUGCGUAGAGAUCGGGAGGAACACCAGUGGCGAAGGCGGCUACCUGGACCAGCACUGACACUGAAGCACGAAAGCGUGGGGAGCAAACAGG